rnacentral:rRNA from 1 species
UNUGACUUGAGUGCAGAAGGGGAGAGUGGAAUUCCAUGUGUAGCGGUGAAAUGCGUAGAUAUAUGGAGGAACACCAGUGGCGAAAGCGGCUCUCUGGUCUGUCACUGACGCUGAGGCUCGAAAGCGUGGGUAGCGAACAGGAUUAGAUACCCUGGUAGUCCACGCCGUAAACGAUGAGUGCUAGGUGUUAGGCCCUUNCCGGGGCUUAGUGCCGGAGCUAACGCAAUAAGCACUCCGCCUGGGGGGUACGACCGCAAGGUUGAAACUCAAAGGAAUUGACGGGGGCCCGCACAAGCGGUGGAGCAUGUGGUUUAAUUCGAAGCAACGCGAAGAACCUUACCAGGUCUUGACAUCCCGAUGCUAUUCUUAGAGAUAGGAAGUUACUUCGGUACAUCGGAGACAGGUGGUGCAUGGUUGUCGUCAGCUCGUGUCGUGAGAUGUUGGGUCAAGUCCCGCAACGAGCGCAACCCUUAUUGUUAGUUGCCAUCAUUAAGUUGGGCACUCUAGCGAGACUGCCGGUAAUAAACCGGAGGAAGGUGGGGAUGACGUCAAAUCAUCAUGCCCCUUAUGACCUGGGCUACACACGUGCUACAAUGGUCGGUACAACGAGUUGCGAGCCGGUGACGGCAAGCUAAUCUCUGAAAGCCGAUCUCAGUUCGGAUUGGAGGCUGCAACUCGCCUCCAUGAAGUCGGAAUCGCUAGUAAUCGCGGAUCAGCACGCCGCGGUGAAUACGUUCCCGGGCCUUGUACACACCGCCCGUCACACCACGAGAGUUUGUAACACCCGAAGUCGGUGAGGUANCCUUUUAGGGGCCA